GGAUUAUGGCUCAGUGGUAGAGCAUUCGUCGAGCACCUGCAAGGCCCAGGGUUCGAUCCUCAGCACCA
rnacentral:tRNA from 1 species